rnacentral:ribozyme from 1 species
AUUUCAUUUAGUUCUGUAAAAGAAUUGGAUCCUACGCCCCUAGAAAACUACUAUAGGCUCUCCUUCUCUACUCCUACUCAAUACGUCCACGACGUGCAGAACGGUAACUUGUCGGCUAGAUCCAAGCUUGGCUACACGGGGAAACCCAACCCCUUGGGCGGAUGGGCGGCAAGGCUGAAUUGAGAGGU